AUUGAACGCUGGCGGCAUGCCUUACACAUGCAAGUCGAACGGUAACGCGGGGCAACCUGGCGACGAGUGGCGAACGGGUGAGUAAUGCAUCGGAACGUGCCCAAUAGUGGGGGAUAGCCCGGCGAAAGCCGGAUUAAUACCGCAUACGACCUGAGGGUGAAAGCGGGGGACCGAAAGGCCUCGCGCUAUUGGAGCGGCCGAUGUCAGAUUAGGUAGUUGGUGGGGUAAAGGCCUACCAAGCCGACGAUCUGUAGCUGGUCUGAGAGGACGACCAGCCACACUGGGACUGGGACACGGCCCAGACUCCUACGGGAGGCAGCGGUGGGGAAUUUUGGACAAUGGGCGCAAGCCUGAUUCAGCCAUGCCGCGUGCGGGAAGAAGGCCUUCGGGUUGUAAACCGCUUUUGUCAGGGAAGAAACGCUCUGGGUUAAUACCUCGGGGUAAUGACGGUACCUGAAGAAUAAGCACCGGCUAACUACGUGCCAGCAGCCGCGGUAAAAC
rnacentral:rRNA from 1 species